rnacentral:rRNA from 1 species
GGAAUAUUGCACAAUGGGGGGAAACCCUGAUGCAGCGACGCCGCGUGGAGGAAGAAGGUCUUCGGGUUGUAAACUCCUGUUGUUGAGGAAGAUAAUGACGGUACUCAACAAGGAAGUGACGGCUAACUACGUGCCAGCAGCCGCGGAAUAUUGCACAAUGGGGGGAAACCCUGAUGCAGCGACGCCGCGUGGAGGAAGAAGGUCUUCGGGUUGUAAACUCCUGUUGUUGAGGAAGAUAAUGAC